AUACUUGUUCAAGUAUAGUAAGGCAGACUUUAUUCAGGACCUUCGAAAUAAGUAUACGGACCACUGUAAUGGGAUUUUGUAGUGGGGGAAAGAGAUUGGGCUCAACUCUGAACAUAGCAUGGGCAAGUAAGAAUUUAUAGCCAAGGAGCAAGAUAGUUAGGGGUAGGGCGAUCAGUGGAUGGAAAAUUAUUAAGAGGAUAUACAUCAGGGAGAUUCUGGCUUAAGUAACCUAACAUAAUUCUUGCUGAAGACGUGAUCAGACAUCAUCUGGGGAAUGGUGGAGGAUGAAGAACAGAUACCAAGGAUUGGGGAGGUUCUUGUUAAAACUAGAUUUUUUAACUGUUGCACAGAUAAGCCUAGGCUUGACUAAAGUUUGGUUGGGAGUGUAUCUUUGUCACAAUCAAAAGAUUCAUAUUAAAAUACUCAAUUGAGAAACAAGGAUAGAUAAAGUAACCGGUUUAGAUGUAUUUAUUGACGGAAAGAUUAGGUUGCUGGAAAACAUGAAAUCUAUAUAAUAAAAUAAUCCUACAUUACAUCUAUUUACAGGAUAAAAAUGGCAGAAUGAAAGAAUUAUGAGUGGAACUAGAGAAUAGGAAAGACAUGAACCAACGCCCAAAAUGAGAAAGAAGGACAUAUAAAGAAAAAGACAAAUACAAGUGAAAAAAAUAGACUAAUGGAUUAACGUCCCUGUCGUGUGACAUUUUCUGGUAUGACAGCUGAAGAUGUUGAACCGUAUGGUGCAGUUUUGCAAAUAGUGUAUGAAGUGGGUUGUAAGUUUUACCAGUAAUUGUCUAUAGAUACAAAAAGGAGCCAACCUCUUUUUUUUUCUUUUAGUGUGAUGUUCCUUGUUCUAUCUUCGAACUCUCAAAGGUAGCCUUUACACAGAUGUUCAAACUAAUUCUACCAGUGUCAUAUGUCUACCAAUCUCAUUACUUCCCUUGUAUGUACUUCUAGAGCAAAGAGCUCAUUACAGUAAGAAUGAUGGUAAAUUUUACUGAGGCAAACAAAGAUUUCUGAACGCGAGCAGUGUGUGUGAAAUGCUUAUGCACUAGCUGAUAGCAUAACUCUGGUCAAAGAAAUUUGGUCACUUAAAUAUUAUAAUUGAAUUUAGCCCCUAAAGUAGCUGUUCUUAACCUGGAAUCUGAAGAACAGCCUGUUGGUGGGGCUCCCAGGGAAUUUGUGAACCACUGAAAUUAUAUACAUAAUUUCAUGUCUGUGUACCGUGUACAUUUAUUUUUCUUACUUUUUUUUGAGAUGGAGUUUCGCUCUGUUGCCCAGCCUGGAGUGCAGUGGCACCACCUCAGCUCACUGCAAGCUCC
rnacentral:lncRNA from 1 species